AGUUUCCAAUGAAGUUUCCAAACUGGCAGGAAUGGACAUGCUCGUGAAUCUCAAGAGGUACUAUGCUCUUGCUACGCCUGACAGACCGAAGAGACCAGGACCACAUCAUUUCAGGAACUUCAGAUGCAAAUCCACAACACAUUACUAUAAACCAAGUGCACCAAUACGGGUCCAACAGCAGAGAACCCAAGGAACAGACUUGGGCCGUACGAUCCCAACCAUCAGAGCAAUGGACUAAGACACUGGCACCUUCACGUCCCACUGCCUGUUCAAAGUAUGGAAAUAAAGAGAAAUCAUGUCAUCAAGCCAUUCAAGCAAAUUUAUUUCUUCAGGAUAAUAAAGAGAAAUCCAGAGUUCUUAAAUAAAUUGUGUUUAAAACUUCGUAUCAGCUUUUGUGUCAGCAACUCAAGAUCAGAUACAGACUUAUAUUUUUCAUUACAUGAAGUCGACUCCACAUUCUGUGGAAGCAGGUUUGCAGUUUGAUUCAAGCACUCGUGCACAAAUAUUUAUCCAUUCAGAGCUGUGUUUUUAACUGCUGUUGAACAAUUGCUUAAUGCUAAUACACCAUGAACCACAAAGCCUAGAGAUUAAAGAAUAUACUCUACUUUCAAGUUCUUAUUUUCAACACUUGCUCCCACUUCAGUUCACACUUGGUUCAUCAUCACUAUUGGACACUAUAUUGAUUAACUGCUUUUAAUAGAAGAGUUAUGGACAAAGAAUCAUUUUAUUUCAGAUAUCCAAAGUAUUUCAUGCAAAGUGGCAAGAAAACAAUCUAUUUCUGCAUCUGUAUGGACA